UCUCGGCCAGGGUGUUGCCAAGCUGGAAAAGAGAAGAGUCGGUGGAAGCUGGCUUUGGAUUUUCAUAUCUUAUUUUAAAGGGGAGAAUAAUGCUUUCUUAUCCAAACUGGGACCUUCAGAUCAAGGACAAUGUGCCCUGUGGAAUCUGUUCUUCAGCCUUCCUUCCCUUCCUAGGCUGCCUCUGACUGAGUCACAUGAAGGGCUCUACAAUUGAUUUUUCGACCAGUGGAGAAGAGAUGGGAAAGCUGAUGUCUCGGGGGAUUCCUGAUUCCUCAUUCCAGGAGACCCUUUGGAGAAGUGACCGUCUGCCCUGGAGAAGAUGGUCGGCCCCUUCUCCACAUCGCUCAGCUAUCUGGAGCCCUAAGGUGAAAUGACUUGCCCAGAGUCAGAGAAGGCAUCAAGAGAAAAUACAUACACAGCAAACACAGCUUCUGAUGCCUAGCAUCUGCCUGGCCCUUGUCUAUUCCCUUAGAAAUGUCACAGACUUCACAGAAAUCUCUUUGUUUUGUGGAUUUGCGGUCUCCACUUUAGAUCCAAGGAUUGUGACCUCCCUCCGUCCCUCUUGUCUGCCUGGUGGCCUUUUGUGGUGCUGAGGAAUUCAGUUCCUCGGUGACCCUGACAUCAUGGAGCCUUCCCCUUAUGUUGUGUACGUGUAGGUCUCUCAAGCUGCUUCCGUACUGCAUGGCCUCAUUUCUGUCUCACAAGGGUUCCAGAAGACCAUCCCACACUUAAAGGGUCCCAGAAUGGGGCUGGAGAUAGAGUAUGUUGGGGAUGAUGAAAGACCAUCGGAUAGCUACGUCUGGAGACUCUUAUCACCAAAAAGAUAGAGGGGAAUGAUGUUUUUGUCUAUGGCAACUCAGGAGUGUGAUAGGUUAUUACCUGUAUCAAUGAAAGUUGUGCUGUUACCAAUGAGAUCACAGAUACACUGGAAGAUGGGUGAGAAAACUGAGGUUAAAAGAGCAGUCCAAGGCCACAUAGCCAGUGUAUGGAGCAGAGACUUGAAUCCAGGUCUCCCAUUUCUUAGCAUCCUUAGAGUCCUUCAAGACUUAGCUCAACACUUUCUACAUGAUCCUUUUCCUGAUCAGCCCAGCUGCUAGGGCCCCAAAAUGCUUUUAAUUUAUUUUGAGGAUCUUUUGUAUAUUUUUAUAUCUGUACAUAUUGGCUACAUCUAUGGAAAGGAAGCUCUUUGGGGGCAGAGACCAUUUUACUUUCCUCUUUGUAUCCCUGGUGCCUAGCAUGGUGCUUGGUCCAUAGGAGGUACAUGAUAAAUUGAUUCUGGUCUAUGUGGCAGACAUUACAGAGAGUCUCAGACUUGAAGACAAUACUCAGUGACGACUCUUUGGCCAGAACUGGAAACAACAAGUACACAGCUGGUCGAGGACCAGAGGAAAUGGCCUCUCAAGACUCGAGGCAGAUCCGUUCCUGGAAAACCUUUAGCCCACUUCCAGCCUGUUUCAUGGGCACGUGCUGGGAUGAGCACCACUUGUGUCUGUUCAGUAAGAGGCAUGUCACCUCCACCUUUGGGUGACCGUGGACAAGCUGCCUCAACUCUCUGAGCUUCAGUCUGCUAAGAUGUAAAGUGGGAAUCAGAGCUGUGGGGCUGGUCGAGGUCUUAGAAGUCGCCUGGUCAACCUUCUCACUCACCCAUGCUCACACAGGGAGGAAGCUUCCAUCACAAGUGGGAUUUUCUGAGCCUCAGUUUCUCCAUCUCUUCAAGGAUGGUUUGGAUUAGAUGACCUCUGAGGUCCCUUCCGGCUCUGGAACCGUGAUGACCCUGUGAUCCAAGGGUAAAGGACUUUGAACAAAGCAAUAUAAGUGAUAAGUAACAGAGCCAGGAGAGAUGCUAUUUCCCUGGUGUGUCCCACUCACUCCAAUAAUGCCUAUAGGACUGACCUCACAGGGUUGUUGUCAAAAGCUUAACGAUACCUUCUCUCAAAAAGCUCAUAUUCUAAUGGGGAUAUGGCUUGAAUAUAACACAAUGAAAAGAAGUCAAAAGCACUGAUGAAUAGGAGAAUCAAUUAUGGAUUCACAGAUGUGGUGAUGCCCGAGCCGAGCCUAGAAGGCAGAUAAAAUAUUCUGAGAGCUGGGGAGGUGUGGAAGGACAUUCCAGGCAUGGACACAAAGGCUUGGAGAUAGAACUUGGGAUUGUGAGGACAAACUGUGGUUGGCAAACCUCAAAACGCUUUACAGAUAUUAGCUAUUAUUACCGUCAUUGUUACAGCCCAGAGUCCAAUCCUCAGCACUUAGCACUGUGCCUGGUACCCAGAGUAACUGCUAAUAAAUUCUUGUUGACUGAAUGACGUUGGGAAAAAGCACCAUCUGCUGAUGCAUGGGUAGGAGAGAGGGAUUUCAGGAGACUGGGUUGGAAACGGAAAGAGUUGAGGAAGUGAGAGAAGAGGAACUUGUAGCAGCCAGUGCAGACAGUUUUUUUCAAAGGGUUUGGCUGAGAAAGGGAGAUGAGAUACAGGACAUUAACUUGAAGCGAUGAUGGGAUCUAGUGAAGGGGAAGGCUUAAACAUAUUUUUUAAAUGAAAGUUCUCUUUUUAAAAAAUUUUUGAGUUCUAAAUUCUCUCUUUCCCUCCAG